rnacentral:rRNA from 1 species
GACAGAGGGGGCAAGCGUUGCUCGGAAUUACUGGGCGUAAAGAGCUCGUAGGCGGUUUGUCGCGUCUGCCGUGAAAGUCCGGGGCUCAACUCCGGAUCUGCGGUGGGUACGGGCAGACUAGAGUGAUGUAGGGGGAGACUGGAAUUCCUGGUGUAGCGGUGAAAUGCGCAGAUAUCAGGAGGAACACCGAUGGCGAAGGCAGGUCUCUGGGCAACAACUGACGCUGAGGAGCGAAAAGCGUGGGGAGCGAACAGG